rnacentral:rRNA from 1 species
CCUGACGGUAGUCGUAUGCUCGUCUCCGAGACUAAGCCAUGCAAGUCCAAGUACACGUCCUUGAACGACGGAAACUGCGAACGGCUCAUUAAAUCAGUUGCGAUCUACUCGGCGUUUCCGCGCCGCCGGAUAACCGUAGUAAUUCUAGGGCUAAUACGUGCGAAGCGCCCGAAGCCGCGAGGCGACGGGCGUUCUCGCCGGAUGUAGGAACCACCGGGGACCGCCGGGGCAACCCGGCGCCCCCGAGACGGGGCGAACCACGGUGAAAUGACGGAUCGUCGGCCCCGCGCCGGCGACUCGCCGAAUGAGUUUCUGACCUAUCAACUCGAGACGGCGGGGUAGAGGCCGCCGCGGUAACGACGGGUAACGGGGAAUCAGGGUUCGAUUCCGGAGAGGGAGCCCGAG